UACGUAGGGCGCAAGCGUUGUCCGGAAUUAUUGGGCGUAAAGAGCUCGUAGGCGGUUUGUCGCGUCUGCUGUGAAAACCUAAGGCUCAACCUUGGGCUUGCAGUGGGUACGGGCAGACUAGAGUGCGGUAGGGGGUGACUGGAAUUCCUGGUGUAGCGGUGGAAUGCGCAGAUAUCAGGAGGAACACCGGUGGCGAAGGCGGAUCUCUGGACAGUUCCUGACACUGAGGCAACGAAG
rnacentral:rRNA from 1 species